AUAAUGGGUCAGCGACUUAUAUUCUGUAGCAAGGUUAACCGAAUAGGGGAGCCGAAGGGAAACCGAGUCUUAACUGGGCGUUAAGUUGCAGGGUAUAGACCCGAAACCCGGUGAUCUAGCCAUGGGCAGGUUGAAGGUUGGGUAACACUAACUGGAGGACCGAACCGACUAAUGUUGAAAAAUUAGCGGAUGACUUGUGGCUGGGGGUGAAAGGCCAAUCAAACCGGGAGAUAGCUGGUUCUC
rnacentral:rRNA from 1 species